rnacentral:lncRNA from 1 species
GUGACUUGCACAACAGACCAAGGAAACUAGCAUAAAUAAUUUUUAGAAAGUGAUAAUUAAAAAAUGAUAUUUCAAUUAAUAUCAGUAAAAGCUUCCAUAAUGUGCUGUCACUACAUGUAAAAUUCCUAAGCAAUUUUAAGCCAACAUUCUUUAAAGAAGGAGCUAAAAUGCCUAUUAAAAAUAUGCAACUUAAAGAUGUAUGGAACUCCUUUAUUAUGUGCUAAAUGCUGUAAUAAAACAGGUUAUCAGUAGGUUUUGCUGCAUGUUACUAAUUUUAUUUUUUUUUUAAUCUUGGUAUUUUUGCAGGUGUGUGGAAGAACAAGUCCUGUUCUCGCUGUUGUUACUCCCACAUAGGCAGACUCUGUAAUUGAUUAUGUGUGGGUAGGGCCCUAUUGAAAUUCAGGAGAUUCUGCAGUAGUGCGGGGUUCUUUUUGUGACAGUUCAGUUGCAAGAUCAGGACCCUACUGUGACUCCUUACUGUGCAUUCUGUCACUGUCUCAUUGGUUGUACUGGAACCUGCCUGUUGGGAUAAUUACCAAAUACUAUAUUCCUCAAAACUUCUUAAUGGCACUGAGGCUUUGUGGAUAGUUGGUCACAUGAUGAGAAAAUUCAGCUAUUCUGUAGAUCACAUGGCUGGCAGAUACAGAAAUAAUUUCACAAAUGAAAAUGGAAGAAGAAAAAUCCAUGAAGAUUGUGUUGAAGGUUUGAUUCGUUUGACUUUCUCUAGGCGUAUGAGGGUGUCCAUGAUUAUCAUAUAUAUAUACAGAUGUAUUAUAUUCAUGUUAUACAUACAUAUAUUGUUGUAUAUAUGGAAAUGUGUAAAAAGCUGUAAAAGAGGAAUUUGAGUUCUGUGCAAGAGGUACUUCAACACAGGUUACAGGAUUUUUGUACAGUACUUAAAACAACUAGAAGAAAUAAUGAGAGUUAAUUCAGUACUGGAUCUGAUAGUGAUCAGGAAAAAAGGAGAUACUAGAUCUAACAUUAAGACCUUAUAACUGUACAAUACUUCUGGUUUAAUAAAAAGGCCAGAAAAAGUGUAAACA